CAUGUAAGUUUGAACGGACAGUAUUAUAAGGAAUUAGUUGUUUAAUAUCUAAAUUUAAUUUGGAACUCUCGACUCUUUAUGGUUACACCAUUCAUCAAUUUUGAUUCUUAGUUUUAAUAUUUUUACAGAGAAGCAUCAAUCUGGUGAAAAUUCAUGGUUAUGGUUAGUAUUGUCAUAUACUGGAGUUCACAUUAUUAUGCAUCAAUAAUCCUUUGAUUUCCAAUGAACCUAAGAGAAAAGGUCUUGCAUAAAAUUAAAAAUAGUUGUCUGUUUAAGCAUGAAACAGAAAAUUUGAAUCUCAAAUGUUAAAGAUAAGAAGGAAUGACAAAGUUUCCUGGGAGAAUAUUCAUAUCGGCGCAGUUGAAAGAAACAAAACACAAGCUUUGUUCUGAUCAGACUUUCAGUUCUGAUUAGUUUCAGACUUUCAGUUCUGAUCAGUUCAAGCUUUGUUCUGAUCAGACUUUCAGUUCUGAUCAGUUUCAGACUUUCAGUGCUGAUCAACUCAAGCUUUGUUCUGAUUAGACUUUCAGUUUUGAUCAGUUUUAGACUUUUAGUUCUGAUCAGAUGCAAGCUUCUGUUUUUGUUUUGAGCUAUGUGUACGUUUAUCUGACACAACACAGCAGAACACACACACACACACACACACCUGAAAUACACACAACACACUCAAACACACAGCACAGGUAACACAGACAGCAGAACACACACACAACAGAACACACGCAGCCAUUCUAUUGCAUGUUAGUUCUGGUCAAAGUUGUACAACAGAGGAAGGAGACAUUCCUUUUGGAAUUGAGGACUUGCUAUAUUAUGUAAAAAAGGAUGAAGCAGAUAAGUUCCAUCUAGGUUUUGGAGCCCUUAAAGAGUAUUUUCCUCUUGUCUUUGAUUUGAGCUCUUCUGAACUUAUGGGCUAUGCGUACUUCGAUCUCUACUCCAGGUUCUGCAACUAUCUCUCUUUCUGAUGACCUUAUCCUCAUUGUACUUAACAAACUGUCUGACAACAAUGUCAUUAAUCCAGGAAAGGAAAAUAUGGCCAGACUUGUGUUUCGCCUCUCCAAAAUGGUUCAUUAUCAGCAAAUGUUGCUAGACAGGUUCCAGUUGUUCUACUGAUGUCUGAUAUUUUAAAGGGGGAUGUUAACUUUCCUGCAUUACUGCGAUUCUCUAAAGUUGUUAGUCUUUUCCAUGAAUUUGGCCAUAUGUCAUUGGCUCGCAUGAACAAGAAGGACUCGUGGCUGUUUUGGUGGAGCCUUUAUCUUACCGUGAGUGAAGUUACUUUUUUUUCCUUUUCCGUCUCCUUUAAAAACCAUGUACUCCCUCCUUGCACAUAAGUAACACUUAUACUUUAGGGCAUUGUAAAUUAGCUGUCACGUGGUACUUUCUUAAAUAUAACUUUCGGUUCCUGAAUUUCUGUGAGGUCUUGUUUUGGUACUAUAUAUUAUGUUACAAGCUGGAUGAA